CCAGGCCAUUGUCGUUGCUCUGCCCUGUUAGAGAGCUCUCUCAGAUUGUGUGCCAUCAAAGCAGAACAACUUAAUUUGGUUUCUCAGUCGUGACAUGACUGACAGUGCACCCCAAAGCACCUCCUGUUUGUCCUUUGGCGCCGUCUGUCCUUUGUCUUACACUGCAGACUCUCAAGGCUUCACAGUGAUGACGGCUAUCAAGGAGGCUGUUAAGCUCUUUGGUGACUCUCCCACAGUUACAUCUUCCAUCUCCCCCUUCUUUCUUAAUAAAAAAGGCACGAUUCAUUGCAUCCUGUAUCCUUUUUUGUGUACACUGCAACAAGCAUGGAACAGUAAUUAAAGCACAGAGAAAUGCAAUGAGACAAAAUGACCCUAUUCGAUGCAAAUUCUGUAUCCGUUCUGAAAAACCCCAAAAGAGACCCCAAAUACAUUUACAAGUUUCCUUUUUUAGUUUUCCAUCCUCCCUUACUACUUUCCCCUAUUAACACACUGUGAAGUUAGAGCAGCAAUUAUAUUAACAACACCAUCACUCAGUCAAGGCCUCGAUUGGUAACACAAAGAAAACACACGAAAAAAGUUACAGAGAAGGUCACGAUGCUUUCAGUCGAUGUAUACACACUCACACUGCAUCUCUUUCAGACAGUGCCCCGAGUGGGAAAGGAACCUUCCUAAGCUGAUGGGUUAUGACUGAUUGCCCCCUGCGAGACGGCCAUCCGCCCAAAGGAGAGCAGAGAGGAGGAACUCGCCGGCGGUGGAUGCGACAGGCAGUGCCAGCAGGGCGUCCCCUGCUUCAAAGGGCACUGUGCCUCUCUCACCCACCGCAGCCCCACUCCUGCUUUGGUUCUUCUCAGGGUCUGCGGGGUGUUUUCCACUGGCACCCGUAUCCACCAGAAUGCAACCCUCUGUACCCUGCUCCCCCAGCUGCAACGUAACCAAUUCAAUCCUAUCCAUGGGGCUGCUGUGGUCAAACUUCCCAUGUUCCGUCAUUCAGCUUUGGCCAUCAGAGAUGGUUCCCUUCCCCCUCACUUUGGCACACCUCCACCACUGCCGCAUUUCCCUGCUGUGUGCGCACUGCAUUUGGUCCACUGGGGGCAAAACUGUCCCUGGGCCCUUCCAGGUCCUGCUCUUGUGCAGCUGCUGCUGUUCUCCACACUUUCUUCCUAUCCUUACCAUCCCUGUUUCUAUAUACUCUCCAAGCCCUCUCCAUUCAUGUACCCACAUCCCUUACGUGGCUUCCUUUAAUCUGUGUAUCGCUGGGAGAACAUAAAGACAAUCUUGCUCUGAUUAGCCAAUGACCUUGGGAGGUGUAAACAAGACCUGCAGACAUGGAGAGAGAAGGAAAGAUGUGGACAGGCAGAUUGUAACAGUCUGUGCCAGACAGACCCUCUGGACAUAAUCCCGAGACGUCCAGCCUGUACCCCUGGAUGGCUGUGAGCAGAUGCUAUGAAGGCCAUUGGAAAGCCCCACCGAACCUGAGGUGGCUGACGGGGAACCAGGGGUCCAGGUGUGACAAAGGAGCAGAAGGCAGAUUGCCAAAGGGGGGAAGACCACAUUGAUUGCAUAUGGAACCCAUACAAAGGAACCGCCUGUUUAUCCUUUGAUGCCAUCCGUCCUUUGUCUUACACUCCAGACUCUGAAGGCUUCACAGUGAUAAGGUCUGUCAAGGAGUUUCUUAAGCUUUAUGAUGGCUGUCUCAAAGUUUCAUCUUUGCCCAUAGCCUUUCCUGGUGGAUGAAGAAGUGAACAUGAGCCAGCAGAGUGUCCAUGCAGCAUGGAUAGCAAAGGAUAUCCUGGGCUCUGUCAGAAGAGGGGUGGCAGCAGGCACAGGGCGGUGAUUGUCUCUGGGCACCACGGGGCUCUUCUGCCUUUCUGCACGGCCCUGGCUGUUUCUCUGGUUGGGACAGGAGCACUUCAGCCUCCUCCUGUGCUGCUCCCCUCCCUCCAGCCUGCUGGACUGCAGUGAAAUCCUCUCUCCCAGCACUUCUUUUGCACACUUUCAGGAUGUAAUUAUGGAAAAUGGUCUUGGAUGCCCAGACCAUGGGGAUGAGCCUUUGAUGGCAAACCUAAUGUCUCCCUCACGCCUCAACGUGUGCCUUUCAACUCCCUGCCUGUAUCUGUUCCUGAAUCCACCCUGAGUUCUACCUUACACACCAUACCUGCCCCAGUGCUGUCUGUUUGUUCUCCCUGCCACUGACUGCAUCCCCAAGGAGGAUGCCCCAAGCUGGAGGAGCUGCUCACUGAGCUGACACAGCCCUCAAAAGCCACGGGGUUCCAAGGAAAGCCCAGAUGUGUGUAUGGGCUGUGUUUGUGGUGCUGCAGAUGCAGACAUGGCACAGCAUUCCACCUGGGUCCCCACUCCCGCAGACCUGGGCUUGUGGCCAUGGCCAGGCACAGCCCUGUCCAUGCGCAGGGCUCGCUGUGGGUUGGGUUUCCCUGUUUGCCCAAGGCCAGCUCUGGGGCUCUGGGGGUCUCACGCCCGCUCUGUGCUGCAGAUGGUGCUGGGUCCCCAUUCAGCCCCUUGCCAAACCGCAUGGCCCCCCUACAGCACGAGCACAGCCGGCUGUCCAGCAGCACACAGCGCUCAGAGCCAGCAGCAGGCCCCUUGGCGGUGCAGAGGGUGCCCAUCUCAGGAGCACAGCAGAUGAGCAGAACCUCCUCCAGCAGCAUCUCUGCCCCGUGGCAGAGGGACGCGGCGCACAUUCCCGGCCUGGCCAUGAAAUCACCCUUCAAGAGGCAAGCAGUGCUGCUCCCCCCAGACGUCUGCUGUGGGCUGCCGGGGAAGGAGCUGGGAAAGCAAACACUGCUCAUGGAGGUGGGAAAAGACCACGGAGAUCAUCCGAUCCAUCCAUCUCAUUUUCAAUUAAUUUUAUUGAAAACAACAACAACAAAAUAAUCAUGUGCCUCCUUCAACCCCAUCUCCCCCCAAAAAACACGUGCAAAUAUGAUUUCUUAUGUAAAGGAAAGAGAUUAUAAUAUAUAACAGUGUCUUUACUGAACACAAACAAUGUAAUUUGCACACCUAUACCUAAAGAAAUAACUAUAUAUUCUAUCUUAAGCACUAUAAAUUAAUAAUGUGAAAACAUUAAUACUGGACUGCGUGAAGGAGCUGUUGGGGCACGGGUGGAUGUUGAAGGGAAGCUCCUCAUGUGGCCGGUGAUGAGCUGCUCUGCAUGGUG
ensembl:lncRNA